UCUCCGUAGGUGAACCUGCGGAGGGAUCAUUACAGUGUUCUCGCUCUCGCAGGUAGAUCUCCUACCCACUGUUAUCGUUACUGUGUUGAUUUGGCGGGCCGCCGGGCCCCGCUCGGCCGCCGGCUCCGGCUGGGGCGCGCCCGCCAGAGGCGCAGCAAACUCUGUAUGUUUGUGUCGUCUGAGUACUAUAUAAUAGUUAAAACUUUCAACAACGGAUCUCUUGGUUCUG
rnacentral:misc_RNA from 1 species